ensembl:misc_RNA Metazoa_SRP Metazoan signal recognition particle RNA
GCCGGGUGUGGUAGCGCGCACCUGUAGUCCCAGCUACCAGGGAGGCUGAGGCAGGAGAAUCGCUUGAACCCAGGAGGUGGAAGCUGCAGUAAUCUGAGAUCGUGACACCGCACUCCAGCCUGGGUGACAGAGCGAGACUCUGUCUCAA